rnacentral:rRNA from 1 species
AAGUCUCCGCACCCCCCUGAAAAACCCCUCUUAUCUUCCACUAGGGAAACAGGAGCUGGUAUCAGGCACAAUUUUUUGCCCAUAACACCCCGCCUCGCCCACACCCACAAGGGGGAAUUGCAGAGAGAUAAACAUUAGAAAAAAAGAUAGCGCUAGACUCUUUUAAUAGAUUUAGAGCCGCAUUAUCUGGCGCCAGGCGGCGCGGUUACACCAUUGUGGCUAAAAUUGAUUUCUUGCCGCGUAAAGUGCGUUUAAAGACCCCACCUUGUCUGGGAAACAUAGUGAAUAAACCGCGAGACGCUUGUGUUACCCGAGAAAACCAUAAAAAAGAGAUUCCACAUUUUUCAAAACUAGUACUCGCGACAACUGGAACACAAACUGGGAUUAGAUCCCCUAAUGCCUAGUCGUAAACUUUUAAACUUACCCCCAAUCGCCCGGGAACUACGAGCUAAGCUUAAAACCCAAAGGACUUGUCAGUACCCCACAUCCCCCUAGAGGAGACUGUGCUAUAAUCGAUAACCCCCGUUUAACCUCACCAUUUUUUGCCAAUCAGCCUGUAUAUACUCGUCGUCAGCGUUACCACGUGAGCGUCAGUGAGCUUAAUGUUUUUUUAACUAUACGUCAGGGUCAAGGUGCACAUAUAAAAUGGGAAGAGAGGGCUACACUUUCU